rnacentral:rRNA from 1 species
GAUGAACGCUGGCGGCUUGCCUAAUACAUGCAAGUCGAGCGAACAGACGAGGAGCUUGCUCCUCUGACGUUAGCGGCGGACGGGUGAGUAACACGUGGAUAACCUACCUAUAAGACUGGGAUAACUUCGGGAAACCGGAGCUAAUACCGGAUAAUAUAUUGAACCGCAUGGUUCAAUAGUGAAAGACGGUUUUGCUGUCACUUAUAGAUGGAUCCGCGCCGCAUUAGCUAGUUGGUAAGGUAACGGCUUACCAAGGCAACGAUGCGUAGCCGACCUGAGAGGGUGGUCCGCCAACACGGAAACGAGACCAGGUCCAGACUCCCACGGGAGGGAGGAGUAGGGAAUCCUCCGCAAGGGGGGAAAGCCCGACGGAGCAACGCCGGGUGAGUGAUGAAGGUCUUCGGAUCGUAAAACCCUGUUAUUAGGGAAGAAAAAAAGUGUAAGUAAACAAGCCCGUUUUGAAGGUACCCAAUGAAAAAGCCCCGGCUAACUACGUG